GAUGAACGCUGGCGGCGUGCCUAAUACAUGCAAGUCGAGCGAACAGAUAAGGAGCUUGCUCCUUUGAAGUUAGCGGCGGACGGGUGAGUAACACGUGGGUAACCUACCUAUAAGACUGGGAUAACUUCGGGAAACCGGAGCUAAUACCGGAUAACAUUUAGAACCGCAUGGUUCUAAAGUGAAAGAUGGUUUUGCUAUCACUUAUAGAUGGACCCGCGCCGUAUUAGCUAGUUGGUAAGGUAACGGCUUACCAAGGCGACGAUACGUAGCCGACCUGAGAGGGUGAUCGGCCACACUGGAACUGAGACACGGGCCAGACUCCUACGGGAGGCAGCAGUAGGGAAUCUUCCGCAAUGGGCGAAAGCCUGACGGAGCAACGCCGCGUGAGUGAUGAAGGGUUUCGGCUCGUAAAACUCUGUUAUUAGGGAAGAACAGAUGUGUAAGUAACUGUGCACAUCUUGACGGUACCUAAUCAGAAAGCCACGGCUAACUACGUGCCAGCAGGCCGCGGUAA
rnacentral:rRNA from 1 species